rnacentral:rRNA from 1 species
GACGAACGCUGGCGGCGUGCUUAACACAUGCAAGUCGAACGGUAAGGCCCUUCGGGGUACACGAGUGGCGAACGGGUGAGUAACACGUGGGUGAUCUGCCCUGCACUUCGGGAUAAGCCUGGGAAACUGGGUCUAAUACCGGAUAGGACCACUGCCUGCAUGGGUGGUGGUGGAAAGCUUUUGCGGUGUGGGAUGGGCCCGCGGCCUAUCAGCUUGUUGGUGGGGUGAUGGCCUACCAAGGCGACGACGGGUAGCCGGCCUGAGAGGGUGACCGGCCACACUGGGACUGAGAUACGGCCCAGACUCCUACGGGAGGCAGCAGUGGGGAAUAUUGCACAAUGGGCGCAAGCCUGAUGCAGCGACUCCGCGUGAGGGAUGACGGCCUUCGGGUUGUAAACCUCUUUCAGCACCGACGAAGCGCGAGUGACGGUAGGUGCAGAAGAAGGACCGGCCAACUACGUGCCAGCAGCCGCCGUAA